rnacentral:lncRNA from 8 species
CACGCAUCAGGCCUCCAGUGUGCCUCCCCAGUCCGGUAUGUCCUGUGUCCCCUCCUCGCACUCGCCCUGAAGUGCGUGUCCCCAGUCCGGUACGUCCUGUGCCUGCUCCCCGCACUUGCUCUGAUGUACGCCUCCAUAGCCCAGUACGUCCUGUGCUAGCUCCCCGCACUCGCCGUGCGAAGUGUGUCAUUGUUCCGGUACAUUUUGUGCUGGUUCUACGCACCAGGUCUCCAGUGCGCCUCCACAUCCCAGUACGUUCUGUGCCAGCUCCCCGCACUCGCUGUGCGGAGUGUGUCAUCUGUCCGGGACAAUUUGUGCCGGCUCUACGCACCAGACCUCCAGUACGCCUCUACAGUCCGGUACGUCCUGUGCCUGCUCCUCGCACUCGCCCUGAAGUGCGUGUCACCAGUCCAGAGCCUCCGGCGAUGGUCCCCAGUCCAGAGCCUCCGGCGACGGUUCACAGUCCGGAACCCCCUGCGACGGUCCACAGUCUGGAACACCCUACGACGGUCCACAGUCCGGAACCCCCUACGACGGUCCACAGUCCGGAACCCCCUACGACGGUCCACAGUCCGGGAACCCCCUACGACGGUCCACAGUCCGGAACCCCCUGUGACGGUCCACAGUCCUGAACCUCCUGCGACGGUCCACAGUCCUGAACCUCCUGCGGCGGUCCACAGUCUGGAACCCCCUGCGACGGUCCACAGUCCGGAACCCCCUGCGACGGUCCACAGUCCGGAACCCCCUGCGACGGUCCACAGUCCGGAACCUCCUGCGACGGUUCACAGUCCGGAACCUCCAGCGAUGGUCCACAGUCCGGAACCUCCUGCGACGGUCAACAUUCUGGAGCCUCCAAUGGGGGUCAACGGUCCGGAGCUUCCAGGCAAGGCGUACAGUCCCGCUCCAGGGCAGGAGCCUCCCUCUGUGCCGGUGACCAGUCUAGGCAAGGCAUACAGUCCCACUCCGAGGCAGGAGCCUCCCUCUGCGCCAAUGCCCAGUCCAGGCACGGCGCCCAGUCCAGCUCCAAGGCCAGAGCCUUCCUCUGCGCUGAUGCCCAGUCCAGGCACGGCGGCCAACUCAGCUCCACUCAGCUCAGCUUGGCCAAAGUCCCACACCAGAGCCACCACCGAUGCUGGCGGAUCCACGAGCGGAGUGGGUACUUCACCC